rnacentral:misc_RNA from 1 species
GAGGCAAACACCCCAAAACAAAGAUGUAUCUUAAUCUGAUGAGAGGAAGUUUGUUGGCUCGUGCUCCCUCGCUAUUUCGCCCUCGUGCUCUAUUAUGCACACAAAGCACAGGAAGCAAAUGGCAGCAGCAAGUGCAAAGGCAAGAUGAGGUUAAGGGUGUUCAAGAUGAGAUUUCUGGAUGGCAGCAGCAAGUGCAACAGCAAGA